rnacentral:rRNA from 1 species
AUUGAACGCUGGCGGCAUGCUUUACACAUGCAAGUCGAACGGCAGCGCGGGCUUCGGCCUGGCUGCGAGUGGCGAACGGGUGAGUAAUGCAUCGGAACGUGCCCAGCAGUGGGGGAUAGCCCGGCGAAAGCCGGAUUAAUACCGCAUACGACCUGAGGGUGAAAGCGGGGGACCGAAAGGCCUCGCGCUAUUGGAGCGGCCGAUGUGGGAUUAGCUAGUUGGUUGGGUAAAGGGUUACCAAGGCGACGAUCCGUAGCUGGUCUGAGAGGACGACCGGCCACACUGGGACUGAGACACGGCCCAGACUCCUGCGGGAGGCAGCAGUGGGGAAUUUUGGACAAUGGGGGCAACCCUGAUCCAGCCAUGCCGCGUGCGGGAAGAAGGCCUUCGGGUUGUAAAGCGCGUUUGUUCGGGAAGAAAUCCUCUGGGCUAAUACCCCGGGGGGAUGACGGUACCGGAAGAAUAAGCACCGGCUAACUACGUG